rnacentral:rRNA from 1 species
GUGCACGCUGGCGGUAGGCCUAACACAUGCCCGUCGCACGGCAGCACAGUAAGAGCUUGCUCUUACGGGUGGCGAGUGGCGGACGGGUGAGGAAUACAUCGGAAUCUACUUUUUCGUGGGGGAUAACGUAGGGAAACUUACGCUAAUACCGCAUACGACCUACGGGUGAAAGCAGGGGAUCUUCGGACCUUGCGCGAUUGAAUGAGCCGAUGUCGGAUUAGCUAGUUGGCGGGGUAAAGGCCCACCAAGGCGACGAUCCGUAGCUGGUCUGAGAGGAUGAUCAGCCACACUGGAACUGAGACACGGUCCAGACUCCUACGGGAGGCAGCAGUGGGGAAUAUUGGACAAUGGGCGCAAGCCUGAUCCAGCCAUACCGCGUGGGUGAAGAAGGCCUUCGGGUUGUAAAGCCCUUUUGUUGGGAAAGAAAAGCAGCAGGUUAAUACCCCGCUGUUCUGACGGUACCCAAAGAAUAAGCACCGGCUAACUUCGUG